AUGGGAGCUUGCUCCCUGAGAUUAGCGGCGGACGGGUGAGUAACACGUGGGCAACCUGCCUAUAAGACUGGGAUAACUUCGGGAAACCGGAGCUAAUACCGGAUACGUUCUUUUCUCGCAUGAGAGAAGAUGGAAAGACGGUUUACGCUGUCACUUAUAGAUGGGCCCGCGGCGCAUUAGCUAGUUGGUGAGGUAAUGGCUCACCAAGGCGACGAUGCGUAGCCGACCUGAGAGGGUGAUCGGCCACACUGGGACUGAGACACGGCCCAGACUCCUACGGGAGGCAGCAGUAGGGAAUCUUCCGCAAUGGACGAAAGUCUGACGGAGCAACGCCGCGUGAACGAAGAAGGCCUUCGGGUCGUAAAGUUCUGUUGUUAGGGAAGAACAAGUACCAGAGUAACUGCUGGUACCUUGACGGUACCUAACCAGAAAGCCACGGCUAACUACGUGCCAGCAGCCGCGGUAAUACGUAGGUGGCAAGCGUUGUCCGGAAUUAUUGGGCGUAAAGCGCGCGCAGGUGGUUCCUUAAGUCUGAUGUGAAAGCCCACGGCUCAACCGUGGAGGGUCAUUGGAAACUGGGGAACUUGAGUGCAGAAGAGGAAAGUGGAAUUCCAAGUGUAGCGGUGAAAUGCGUAGAGAUUUGGAGGAACACCAGUGGCGAAGGCGACUUUCUGGUCUGUAACUGACACUGAGGCGCGAAAGCGUGGGGGAGCAAACAGGAUUAGAUACCCUGGUAGUCCACGCCGUAAACGAUGAGU
rnacentral:rRNA from 1 species